rnacentral:lncRNA from 11 species
UUAAAAUCAUGGGAUCUGCAAAAAGAGCUAAAGUUAAGCAUUUAACAAAAGAAGGUGUAUUCCAAGGAAACUUUUUCCAGGCAGACUUCCCUGGCCGGCGCCUGGAUCUGCACCUGUUUCCCAUCUCUGAGCAGCUGCUAAUUAGGUUGCAAAUGGUGGGGAUGGGCCAGCCAGCC